UACGUAGGGUGCAAGCGUUAAUCGGAAUUACUGGGCGUAAAGCGUGCGCAGGCGGUUGUGCAAGACAGAUGUGAAAUCCCCGGGCUUAACCUGGGAAUUGCAUUUGUGACUGCACGGCUAGAGUGUGUCAGAGGGGGGUAGAAUUCCACGUGUAGCAGUGAAAUGCGUAGAGAUGUGGAGGAACACCGAUGGCGAAGGCAGCCCCCUGGGUUAACACUGACGCUCAGGCACGAAAGCGUGGGGAGCAAACCGG
rnacentral:rRNA from 1 species